rnacentral:rRNA from 1 species
AUUGAACGCUGGCGGAAUGCUUUACACAUGCAAGUCGAACGGUAGAGGGGGCAACCCCUCGAGAGUGGCGAACGGGUGAGUAAUAUAUCGGAACGUGCCCAGUCGUGGGGGAUAACGUAGCGAAAGUUACGCUAAUACCGCAUACGAUCUAAGGAUGAAAGCGGGGGAUCGCAAGACCUCGCGCGAUUGGAGCGGCCGAUAUCAGAUUAGGUAGUUGGUGGGGUAAAGGCUCACCAAGCCAACGAUCUGUAGCUGGUCUGAGAGGACGACCAGCCGCACUGGAACUGAGACACGGUCCAGACUCCUACGGGAGGCAGCAGUGGGGAAUUUUGGACAAUGGACGCAAGUCUGAUACAGCCAUUCCGCGUGCAGGAUGAAGGCCCUCGGGUUGUAAACUGCUUUUGUACGGAACGAAAAGGUCUCUCUUAAUACGGGGGGCUCAUGACGGUACCGUAAGAAUAAGCACCGGCUAACUACGUGCCAGCAGCCGCAGUAA